rnacentral:rRNA from 1 species
GCUAAUACUAGCCCUAAGCAUCACCAAUACUAAUACCAAGCCAACGCACACUAAACCAUUCACCCGCACAAAGUAUAGGCGAUAGAAAUUUUAACCUGGCGCUAUAGACAUAGUACCGUAAGGGAAAGAUACAAAACCACCCAAGCACAAAACAGCAAGGGCUAACUCCUGUACCUUUCGCAUAAUGGAUUAGCUAGAGAUAAUUUCACAAAGAGAACUACAAGCCAAAUUCCCCGAAACCAGACGAGCUACCCAAGAACAGCUAAAAGAGCGCACCCAUCCAUGUGGCAAAAUGGUGGGAAGAUUUUUGGGUAGAGGUGACAAGCCUACCGAGCCUGGUGAUAGCUGGUUAUCCAAGACAGAAUCUUAGUUCAACCUUAAGCUUACCUACAGAACUACCUAAUCCCCCUGUAAGCUUAAUUGCUAGUCUAAAGAGGGACAGCUCUUUAGACACUAGGAAAAAACCUUAUAGAGAGAGUAAAACCCCCUAACUGCCAUAGUUGGCCUAAAAGCAGCCAUCAAUUAAGAAAGCGUUCAAGCUCAACACUGACCACCUUAAAAAUACCAAACACAUAACUGAACUCCUCACACCACAUUGGAUUAAUCUAUCACCAUAUAGAAGCAAUAAUGCUAGUAUAAGUAACAUGAAUAUUUUCUCCACUGCAUAAGCCUAAAUCGGACCGAAAACCUCACCGAUACCUAACAGCCAGGCAUAGCAAGCACAAACAAGCCCAUGCCUACCUUCACUGUUAACCCAACACAGGCAUGCCUCAAGGAAAGGUUAAAAAAAGUAAAAGGAACUCGGCAAACUCAGACCCCGCCUGUUUACCAAAAACAUCACCUCUAGCAUUACCAGUAUUAGAGGCACUGCCUGCCCAGUGACACACGUUUAACGGCCGCGGUACCCUGAC